rnacentral:rRNA from 1 species
CUUGGUCAUUUAGAGGAAGUAAAAGUUGUAACAAGGUUUCCGUAGGUGAACCUGCGGAAGGAUCAUUAACAAAUCCAAUACUUGUGGGGGGACUACCAAGUCUUGCUGCAAAUAUUAAUCCGCCGGCUCUAGCAGCUGGCUGUGAUAUAAAUGCGUGUAAUGUUGACAGUGUGUGUUUGUAAUUAAUUUAUUGACAACUUUUAACAAUGGAUCUCUAGGCUCUUGCAACGAUGAAGAACGCAGCAAAAUGCGAAACGUGAUGCGAUUUGCAUGAAUCUGUGAGUCAUCUAAUCUUUGAACGCGAAUGGCACUGUUACGUAAGUAGCAGUAUGUCUGUUUGAGAAUCGCAAACACGAUCAACUCUAGUUAAGAGUUGGAACUGGCCUCAUGUGCUGCUUUGCUGCAUAUUUGGUUUGAAUAUAUUGAGUUGAUGAGCCUCCCAAUGUUGCUCAAUGUGUGCUAGCGAGACAGUCGUCCCGAUCUCACAUUAAAGCUUUGUUGCAGGGCUCUAUACACAACUUUUGUUUUCAUUAUCAUCAAUUACGAUCUCAAAUCAGACAAGAUUACCCGCUGAACUUAAGCAUAUCAAUAAGCGGAGGA